rnacentral:rRNA from 1 species
UACGGAGAGGGCGAGCGUUGUUCGGAUUUACUGGGCGUAAAGGGCAUGUAGGCGGCUGGAUAAGCUCCGGGUGAAAUUUAUCCGCUCAACGGAUAACCGAAUCGGAGAACUAUCUAGCUUGAGUUCAGGAGAAGAGAGUGGAAUUCUCGGUGUAGCGGUGAAAUGCGUAGAUAUCGAGAAGAACACCAGCGGCGAAGGCGGCUCUCUAUUCUGAAACUGACGCUCAAAUGCGAAAGCGGGGGGAGCGAAUGGGAUUAGAUACCCCAGUAGUCCACGCUGUAAACGGUGUGCAAUUGGUGUAUUCCUUUCUGAGGGGUGCGCCGAAGCUAACGCAUUAAGUGCACCGCCUGGGGACUACGGCCGCAAGGCUAAA